rnacentral:rRNA from 1 species
AGCGAACGCUGGCGGCAGGCCUAACACAUGCAAGUCGAACGAACCUUUCGGGGUUAGUGGCGGACGGGUGAGUAACACGUGGGAACGUGCCUUUAGGUUCGGAAUAACUCAGGGAAACUUGUGCUAAUACCGAAUGUGCCCUUCGGGGGAAAGAUUUAUCGCCUUUAGAGCGGCCCGCGUCUGAUUAGCUAGUUGGUUGAGGUAAUGGCUCACCAAGGCGACGAUCAGUAGCUGGUCUGAGAGGAUGAUCAGCCACAUUGGGACUGAGACACGGCCCAAACUCCUACGGGAGGCAGCAGUGGGGAAUCUUGCGCAAUGGGCGAAAGCCUGACGCAGCCAUGCCGCGUGAAUGAUGAAGGUCUUAGGAUUGUAAAAUUCUUUCACCUGGGACGAUAAUGACGGUACCCGGAGAAGAAGCCCCGGCUAACUUCGUG